AAGCAUUAUGUGGCUAAGUAUGAAAAGAAGUCGUGGCAAAUACAGGUGCCAGCAGCCGCGGUAAUACCUGAGCGAUUCGCGUUGUUCAUCAUAAUUGGGUGUAGAAAAUGUGUAGGCAGUUUUAGUUUUGGUAACUCAAUUCAUAAAGAUGGAUGCCAAUUUAAAUAUAAAAACUAGAUUAUACUUGAAGUUUAAACACGAAUUUAAAUAGCGAUAAAAUGCUAAUAUUUUAAUUUUUGUGCCAGUCUUCAAAAGAGUUAAGCUUAAGUAUAAUGACGCUGAGACAUGAAGGUAAGGGUAACAAAUAGGAUUAGAGACCCUAGUAGUCCUUACUGUAAAAUUUGAUUAUUAUUAUUAACGUAAAAUAAUCUACCUGGUGAGUGAAGUCGCAAGGCUCAAAGUUAACAGAAUUGGCGGGAAUUAGAACCAACGGUGGAACAUGUGGUUUAAUGCGAUAAUCCACGUAGAAUCUUACCAACAUUAAGUAAUUUAUCAAUUGUUUCUUUAAAUGUUAUAGCAUUGUUAGAUUCAGGAGUAUUGCAUGGCUGUCGUCAGUUAGUGUUUUGCGAUGUUAAAUUAAUUUUUCAAACUAACGCAACCCUAAGGUGUUAGGCUGAGGUCAAGUCCUCAUGGUCUUAGUAUGUUGGGCUACACACGUGUUACAAGGAUAAAAACAAAAGAUUACUAAAAAGAAAUUUAGCGUGAUACUAAAAAAUUAUCUUAGUACGAGUUGUUUUCUGAAACUUGGAGACAACUAGUUGAAAUCGUUAGUAACCGUAAAUUAGAAUGUUACGGUGAAUCAAAAAACUAAUUCUGCACACACCGCCCAUCACACUCGAUGAGCU
rnacentral:rRNA from 1 species